AACUCACAGAUCCUCCCACCUCCUCUGCCUCCCAAGUGCUGAAAUUAAAGGCGUGUGCCACCACCACCUGGCUGAAGUUAGAUUUUUCUAACUUAAAAUUUACCCAGUUAGUGCAUAGAGAGAGCCCUUCACUUGGGCCACCUAGUUAUUGUCCAGGUCAUGGUAUUGAGUGAUUGUUACUUUCUAGGUAUUGAAUAUUUAACUGUGGGGUGCUAAAAAGGCAGAAUAUGAGCCUAGGCACUCUUGCCAGAUGUUUGCAUCUGUUAACUCACAAGCCUGCUGGAAGCCCCGUAGUUGUGUAGAAACUAUUAUUAGAUGAGUUUGAGUGAGGGCCAGGUUGCUGUACCUACUGUAGUGUAGGUCAGCACAAACAGGGCUGUGGUUCCCACACACCAGUGCUUUCUUAUGGAGUACACCAUUACAGAGCAGUGGAGUAGUUUUUAACUAAACAGCCAUAGGCAGCAGAAUGCAUUUUGGUGCACGACCUCUUACCCUUUUCUUUUAUGGCCAAAUACUACUGGGACCUUGGGACCUUGUUGCACGCCUGUAAUCCCUGCGCUUGAGCUGGAGCAGAAGGAUCUAGAGGUUAGGAGCCUCGACUGGUAACAGAUCAGACCAACCUGGAUUCACAGACCUUGUCUCAAUAAAACCCACUAAAGUCAGAUAUUUUAUUUUUACAAAGCCAUGCUGCUUAAGACUGUCAGG